AUCUCUUCACACAGACAUGCGUGACAUUUGGUGCUGAAGACCCGGGAUGGGGGACUCCUUCGGGAGACUGGUCCCCUGUCCUCACCCUCACUCCAUGAGGAGAUCCACCUACAACCUCGGGUCCUCAGUCCAACCAGCCUAAGGAACAUCUCACCAAUUUCAAAUCAGAUCUUGGCUUAGUGGCUGAAGACUGAUGCUGCCCAAUUACCUCGGAAGCCUCCUGGACCAUCACAGAUACUUUGAGUAAUCUCUUAUAGUGGAAGGUCCUCUUUGGAUUCCAGCACGAUGCAUCAAACCAUACCAUGGCAUGCCUAGGACCCAACCCCAUAUCAGAAAUGAAGAAACUGACCUUACAGUACCCGCAGCCCUGAACAAAGCAGCUUCCACAGAUGACACAAGCCCCGGACCUGGGGGAUGCUGAAGAGGACAACUCAGGAGGCUGAACGAAUCCUGCUCUGGACACUGACACCAAUUACUCCAGGAAAUUUUUUCCUUGCUAUGCUUUCUGUGUAUAUUGCAACUCACAUAGGGUAUUGAUCCUUUUUGUACUCUUGCUUUGCUGGCCACCUGUACCUGCUACACUCUAUUAGGCUCAUACUUGAACCCACCUUUCUUUUGCCCUGUCACCUGGGGAGACAUCCCCUUCCCAGCCUUUAAUAAUGUAACUGCUGGCCGGGCGCGGUGGCUCACGCCUGUAAUCCCAGCACUUUGGGAGGCCGAGGCGGGCGGAUCACGAGGUCAGGAGAUCGAGACCAUCCUGGCUAACACGGUGAAACCCCGUCUCUACUAAAAAUACAAAAAAUUAGCCGGGCGUGGUAGCGGGCGCCUGUAGUCCCAGCUACUCGGGAGGCUGAGGCAGGCGAAUGGCGUGAACCCGGGAGGCGGAGCUUGCAGUGAGCCGAGAUCGCGCCACUGCACUCCAGCCUGGGCGACAGAGCGAGACUCCGUCUCAAAAAAAAAAAAAAAAUAAAUAAAAUAAUGUAACUGCUUGGCUAAGAGGGAUAGAUUUACUCCUAGUAGGGCUCCAUAGUAACAGCACACAUAGAACUGAAGUGUCAAAUAACACUACAGGUCACUCUUUGACUGGAAAAAAAUGUUGCUAAUUAUACUCAUGAUUGUCUUAUGUUAUUUGCUAAUUCUAGGAUGCAAAGUUGGAAUAAGAGCAAUGACCACCUCUCCUGAGAGACCUGUUUGUUCCCACAUCUGUACUCUUCAGUCAACAGAACCUGAUGCAAAGAACAGAAAAGGGGAAGAUGUGGGGGAUUCAGUCAGGAUGGUGGGAGAAAUUGUAAAAUUAUAGGAAAUAAUCACAAACACUUGUGGAAGGCCUGGGGGUUUGCAUAAAAUGUUGGGCUGAAGGCAGCUGAAUUCUCUUAAAAGCUUAGGGCAUAGAUACACAGAAAUGUAGUUUAUCUAAAUGACUUGUUUACUUAUGUGGUCCUAAAACUAACCUUUGAUAGUUUAUGGGCAGGAUAGCUCUCUCAGGGUAGGGGGAGGGCAACCAGAUUGAUUACCCACUGAUGGUGUUGACUCAAAGCCUUCGUCAUUUAAUAUGUGCUGAAUAAAUGCCAGCAGGGCCAGUGAGUCAGGGCCACAGCUGCAACUCUUUACAGCACUCUCCUUUGAGUCUGUAAGUGGCCUAGACCCUCAGCCGGUCUGACAAGCAUAA